rnacentral:rRNA from 1 species
UACGUAGGGCGCAAGCGUUGUCCGGAAUUAUUGGGCGUAAAGAGCUCGUAGGUGGCUUGUUGCGUCUGCCGUGAAAGCCCGUGGCUUAACUGCGGGUCUGCGGUGGAUACGGGCAGGCUAGAGGCUGGUAGGGGCAAGCGGAAUUCCUGGUGUAGCGGUGAAAUGCGCAGAUAUCAGGAGGAACACCGGUGGCGAAGGCGGCUUGCUGGGCCAGUUCUGACGCUGAGGAGCGAAAGCGUGGGGAGCGAACCGG